AUGGAAACAUUUGUCGCGCUCUUGGAGGACCGUGGCGCUCCGUCCAGCAGGGGGCGCUGCUCGGAGCGCGGGGCUGCGGGGCGGGGCGGUGUCACUGAGGGACCGGGCGGUUCGGUGUCGCUGCGGGGCGGUUCGGUGUUGCUGCGCUGCCGGGGCGGUUCGGUGUCACUGCGGGACCGGGGCGGUUCGGUGUUGCUGCGGUGCCAGGGUGGUUCGGUGUCGCUGAGGGGCGGUUCAGUGUCGCUGUGGUCCGAUUCGGUGUCACUGCGGUUCGGUGUCACUGUGGUUCGGUGUCACUGCGGUGCGGUGUCAUUGCAGGGCGGUGCGGUGUCACUGCGGUUCGGUGUCACUGCGGUGCCGAGCCGGUUCGGUGUCACUGCGGGACCGGGGCAGUUCGGUGUCGCUGUGGUCCGGUUCGGUGUCACUGCAGUUCGAUGUCGCUGCGGUUCGGUGUCGCUGCAGACUGGGGCGGUUCGGUGUUGCUGUGGUCCGAUUCGGUGUCACUGCGGUUCGGUGUCGCUGUGGUUCGGUGUCGCUGUGGUGCUGGGGCGCUUCGGUGUCGCUGAGGGACCGGACCGGUUCGGUGUCGCUACGGGACUGGGCCGGUUCGGUGUCGCUGCGGGACCGGGUCAGUUCGAUGCCGCUGCGGGACCGGACCGGUUCGGUGUUGCUGAGGGGCGGUUCGGUGUCGCUGCAGGACCGGACCGGUUUGGUGUCGCUGAGGGGUGGUGCAGUGUCACUGCGGUGCCAGGCCGGUUCGGUGUCACUGCGGGACCGGACCGNNNNNNNNNNNNNNNNNCGGUUCGGUGUCACUGCAGUUCGAUGUCGCUGCGGUUCGGUGUCGCUGCAGACCGGGGCGGUUCGGUGUUGCUGUGGUCCGAUUCGGUGUCACUGCGGUUCGGUGUCGCUGCGGUUCGGUGUCGCUGCGGUUCGGUGUCGCUGCGGUGCUGGGGCGCUUCGGUGUCGCUGAGGGACCGGACCGGUUCGGUGUCACUGCGGGACCGCGCCGGUUCGGUGUCACUGCGGGACCGCGCCGGUUCGGUGUUGCGUAGGGACUGAGGCGGUUCGGUGUCACUGCGGGACCGGACCGGUUCGGUGUCGCUGCGGGACCGGACCGGUUCGGUGUUGCGUAGGGACUGAGGCGGUUCGGUGUCACUGCGGGUCGGUUCGGUGUCGCUGCGGGACCGGGGCGGUUCGGUGUCACUGCGGGUCGGUUCGGUGUCGAUCCGCUCACGGAUUCUCCCCCGCACGGAACCGCCGCGCCGCCGUUAUUGUUCCCCGCGGAGCUCCGUGCGGGGCAGGAUGAUGUCGGCGAUGCGGGGCAGCGCGGCGGUGCCGGUGCCGGUGCCGGUAUCGGUGUCGGUACCGCGAACCGGGUCCGGUUCCAGCAGCAGCGCGCUCUGCAGUGCCUGGCGCUGCGCGGUCCCAACGCGGCCGUUGUGGUGCAGCCGCAGCCAGGGGUCACCUGCGGGCAGCGGGACGGGGCGCUGGGACACGGAACCGGGACCGACACCGGGACCGGCACCGGGAUACGGAACCGGGAUACGGCACCAGGACUGGCAAAGGGAUGCUGCACCAGGAUGCAGCACCUGUUUGUGGCACCGGGACCGACACCGGGAUGCGGCACCGGGAUGGGGCGCUGGGAUAUGGCACCGGGAUGCAGUACCAGGAUCGGGCACCGGGAUGGGGCACCGGGAUGGGGCACCUUGAUACAGCACCGGGAUGGGGCACCAGGAUGCAGCACCGGGACCGGCACCGGGACGUGCCCCCCCUCCUCCCCCCCUCACCUUCCCGCAGUCGCUGCCCCGCCUCCACCAGCAGCUCGGCUCCCACAGCGGGGUCGAUUUUUUCCCCGGCUCGCGUCCGUCCGGCGCCCAUCGCGUGCAGCGUCUGCGCCAACGGCAGCGCGGCCACCCCGCGCACCGCGCCUGGGACACCGGGGCACCGCAGCGUCACCGCACGGCU
rnacentral:lncRNA from 1 species